rfam:Aedes aegypti strain Liverpool supercont1.21 genomic scaffold, whole genome shotgun sequence.
CAAUCGGCCCUUUUCAGGGCCAACAACACCAGUGGCAAAUGUCUG